rnacentral:rRNA from 1 species
CGUGGGGUAACUUGCCCCGGGGACCGGGGAUAGCCCUCCUAACGGAGGGGGUAAUACCGGGAGCCGUGGCGGGGGGGGCGAUCCCCCUGCCACGAAAUGGGUUCCGCCCCGGGAGAGGCUCACGUAGUAUUAGCUUGUUGGUGGGGUAACGGCCCACCAAGGCCAAGAUGCUUAGCGGGUGUGAGAGCACGACCCGCGCCACUGGCACUGAGACACUGGCCAG